CUGAGAUAUCUCCGCAAGGUGGAAGAAGAAAUGUCUGCAUUGGCUCAGCUAGCGCCGUUAGUGGACUAGAGGAAGCGACUGAAAGCCCAACGGUGCAGCUAGUAAAGGUGGAGGGAAUUGGGUAAGAAGUAAGGGGAGGGUGGGACCCCAACCUAGAGCAGCGAGUGACUGUACCAGCAACAAUGAGAACAAUUUGAAGAUUGUCCUGAGGGAGGGGUCGUCCCUCCUGCGCGGAAUACCAUGUUAAUUCUAGGGCAUUGAUGUUUUACAAUGCCUGAUCAAGACAAAAAGCUGAAGACCACAGAAAAGCCGCCUGAUAAAAAGCAGCAAGGAACCACCACCAGGGACUAUUCAGAUCUUAAAAGACUUCGGUGCCUUUUGAAUGUCCAAUCAAGCAAACAGCAGCUUCCAGCCAUUAACUUUGAGAGUGCCCAAAAUAGCAUGACGAAGUCUGAGACCGCCAUCAAGGCAUGCGGGCCCAGAGCUCGAGGUCAGUGGCAUGAGUCCACAGAAGCUGUCGAACUUGAAAAUUUUAGUAUAAACUACAAGAAUGAGAGGAAUUUCAGCAGACAUCCCCAGCAUAAAUUGUUUCAGGAGAUCUUUACAGCUUUGGUGAAAAACAGACUCAUAUGCAGGGAGUGGGUUAAUCGAGCCCCGUCUAUUCAUUUUCUGAGAGUGUUAAUUUGUCUGAGGCUACUAAUGAGGGAUCCAUGUUAUCAGGUCAGUUGGAAAAUUAUUUUUUACUUGUUACAAAGAUACAAUAAGCAAAAAAACCUUGUGGGCUUU
rnacentral:lncRNA from 1 species